UGGGUGGUGUCAUGGCUGCGG
rnacentral:misc_RNA from 1 species